UUUUUGUCCUUAAAAAAAAACUUUGGUUGCUCUCUAAUAUAUACGUUGAAAAGAAGAAACUAAGAAAUGGGUAAAAGUUGGUUUUCAGCUGUGAAGAAAGCCUUAAGUCCAGAACCAAAACAAAAGAAAGAUCAGGAUUUGAAGUUGAAGUGUUCAAGGCUCGAAGCUCAUUUGGAGAAGGUGAAGCGAAAGUGUUCAGACCUCGAAGCUCAAUUGUUGGAAGAAAAGGCAAAGGUUUUGGCUGCCAUAGCUCCACUCUCGUCGUUUGAUAACAGUGUUUUUGAUGACUUUUUUGAGUUCUUAUGCAAGUAGAUCUAGGUUCUGCUAGUGCUAGAGUUGUUUGACAUGCUCUCUUGCUUUCUCUUCUAAAAUUAAGAAAAUAAUUUAAGUAGACUUCAUGUUCGCACAUUUAUAUAGAAGUUUUUUCUGUGGUUAAGGAUUCUCAAGGUGUCUUUAGUUUAUUGUUUUAUUGUGCAACACUAACAGUGAUUAAUAGAACCAAAUUCAUUGCCCCUGUGGAAGAUAAAUGAUAUUAAUUAAAAGAAUAUUUGAUGACUAAAAA